rnacentral:rRNA from 1 species
UCCGGUUGAUCCUGCCGGACCUGACUGCUAUCGGAUUGGUACUAAGCCAUGCGAGUCGUUGUAGCAAUACAAGGCAGACGGCUCAGUAACACAUAGUCGAUCUACCCUAUGGACGGGGAUAACCUCGGGAAACUGAGAAUAAUACCCGAUAGAUCAUUAUGCCUGGAAUGGCUUAUGAUUGAAAUGAUUUAUCGCCGUAGGAUGGGACUGCGGCCUAUCAGCUUGUUGGUGAGGUAAUGGCCCACCAAGGCUAUAACAGGUACGGGCUCUGAGAGGAGAAGCCCGGAGAUGGGUACUGAGACACGGACCCAGGCCCUAUGGGGCGCAGCAGGCGAGAAACCUUUGCAAUGUGCGAAAGCACGACAAGGUUAAUCCGAGUGUCUCCUGCUAAAGGAGUCUUUUGUCAGUUGUAGAAUCACUGGUGAAUAAGGGGUGGGCAAGUUCUGGUGUCAGCCGCCGCGGUAAAACCAGCACCUCGAGUGGUCAGGAGGUUUAUUGGGCCUAAAGCAUCCGUAGCCGGUUGCAUAAGUUUUCGGUUAAAUCUAUGCGCUUAACGUAUAGGCCGCCGAAAAUACUGUGCAGCUAGGGAGUGGGAGAGGUACACGGUACUCGAU